AUAAGGAGCGGUUGACCUGAAGCCCCGCUUCUCCAAAGUCCCCGCGACGCAAUCAGAAUGCAUUGCACAGCUGCUCCCAUAGAAAUGAAUGAGACGUUAUGCUUCAACGGU